UUGCGUUGUUCCUGAGUCGCCAGAGCUGCGGUUGUGGAGUAUAGAGUGUCCUUCUCCUAUCUCACACGAGGGGCAUCGUGUAUUGAGAAUUCGAUUUUCAUUCUACGUAUUGAGCAAGGUGUGAUAUAUUGUUGUUGCGGACUUAUAAUUCUGCAGAAGACUGGAAUUCUCUGGACCAAUCAGGAGUCCCCAAUGGUAACCAGGAAAAGAGGAAGAGCUGCAAAUAAAGGCACAGGCGCCAUGUGCUCUGGUCCUUCUGAGGAAUGUGACCGUACCCUAAAAAUCGAUUCUGAAAGUUCAAUCAAGCACUCAUCACCAGAAAGUGAUUCAAACGACUGGGGGCUAGACGAGCUCUUUACCUCCGAUUUCAACUGGGCUUUAGAUGAUGAAGUACUUUCUCCUUUCCAGGACAUCAGCAUGCAAGGUCUAGGUUUAAGUUCAGAAGAUAAGACAAAUCAGGAAUCUGAUCUGAGCAUAUCCCACAGCAGAGGUUCAGCCCGGAGGCAGAAACUACAAGGCCUUUCUGGGCACAUCAUCAAUAAGAAUGCCCUGGCGGCGAGAUUAAACCGGUUGAAGAAGAAGGAGUAUUUGAAUGGCUUAGAGCAGCGCGUUGGAUCUCUGACGUCUGAAAACCGCCUUCUCAAACAGGAAAAUGGCAGUCUAAACAAACGUGUUGAAGAACUUGAAAAUGAAACUAGGUACUUGCGAGCUGUGUUGGCCAAUGAGAGCAUGUUGGCACAGCUGUUGUCUAGAUUGAGCGGUGUGAACGGCAUGAAAUUCUCUACCUCGCUUUUCCAGGAGCCCAGUGAGAACGACCAUGAUUAUGCCAUGCCGAGGAAGAGGGUGAAGGUGGAGGAUAAGGAAGCAGCAGGUGGUGUGUGUCUGCACGUGGACAAAGACCACGUCUCUGUGGAGUUCUGCACUAAAUGUGCCGAGAGUGCAAGCGCAUCGCUCAAAAUGUAGGGUCAAGUAUUUUGCCUUUUCAGCGUUUUCCUGAGACUGAACUAAUGUAAUGAGCAGCGUGUUGGACACCACAGUUGUCAAUUGACAGUUUAACUGUACAAAUAGAGACAUGGCAUGUAUAUAGAAACUGAUUUCAAUACAAGUUACUGCUAAACUUGUUGACAGUUUUCUCCUAGGUGCUUGGUCUUCCAUGUGGGGUGACUGGAUCUCAGAGCAUCCAUGACUACCAGAACCAAUGUGGAUUUGCUGUGGGGGAAAACUGAAGAAACGGGACCAGCUGCUUGCAACAUGGCCUGGUAAAUUAAAAAAGCAGUUUCUUCAUUCUCCAAGUGUUAUCCUUCUUCUUUUCUAAGUGGAUAAAGAGUGGUAAUCAUGAAAUUUAAGGGACUGCAAAGCACAGCUUUUUCAUGACAACAUGCUAUGUGCCCUUUGUCCUGUGGGAGUUAUGGAGGGGGAACCUUGCUUACAAAAAGCUUGUAAUAGUCAAGGCUUAGUCUGUUUGCAAAAGAUUAAGCAUUACUUACUUAAUUUAAUGCUGCAUUUAAUUAAACAAAAAGGCAGGAAUCAGCAAGUAGAGUAAAAAAAAAAUUCUUGGUCAAACAUAGAAAUAGAAAGGGAAAUUUAAAAGCACAAGAGGGCCCUUUACACACCAUGAUGACAUAGGGCUGAUGUCAUAGUGCUUGGGUCAUAAUUAUAUAAAUUAUUGGUUUAACGUUGUGAAUUGGAUUUAGCAUGUUUUUACUUCUGUUUCUUCUUCUGUGCCUGCAUGUCCAGAAUGUAUGUAUCAUUCUGCAGUGCUGUUUUAACGUUUUUUGUUUUUUUUUUCACCAUAAAUGAGUCAGUUUGUCUUGUCAAAAAAAAAACCAAGCAUAAGGCAUCUGCUUAAGCGAAGAUAUUAGAUGAAACAUGGUAGGACUUUAUAUGUGGAUGUGCUAUUAAACUAAGAAUCUUUUUUCUUUUAGCGGCAGUGGUUCCCUCUUUAUUCUCAACAGUUCAAAAUGGCCUUGCACCUUAGGUAAAACUCACAGAAGAAAGAAUAAUAGAGAAAUUGCAAAAAGUUUAAAAAGCUUAUUUAAAAAGACUUGCCAGUUUAAUUAGCAAAUUAAUUGUAUAAUUUUGG